rnacentral:SRP_RNA from 1 species
GCCGGGAGGAAUGGUGUACCCUUGUGAUCCAACUACUCGGAGGCUAGGUAUGCAGGAUGUUUAGGGGCGGGGGGUUUUGGGAUUGGAUUUUCCACGUGACUAGAAGUCCGCUAGGGAUUAAUCUUCAAUUUGAAUGUCUUGAGGAAGCUCUAGAUAGCCAGGUUGAGUUUGAAAAGGGGAAAAUAAGCCCAAAAGUCUCACCGAGUUGAGAGUCGUGGGUUCAAAUCCUGGAAGUGGGAAUUUCAGCUCGUUCAAACAGGAGCAGAUCUGUACCUAA